GAAGCAGUGGCCGAGUGGUCUAAGGCGGAGGAUUUAAGUCCCUCUACGAAAGUGCGUGGGUUCGAACCCCACCUGCUUCA